CUUAGAUGUUAGCAAUGUUUUUAGCUAUUUGGGAAGGCUGGUCGGUUUACUAACGUUAACGUAAAGUUACCUCAGCUGACGUAAAUUUAUCUAUUUAGGUGUUUGGUAGAGAGCUGGCUUGGUUGGCUACGUUAAUUUGCUGACCUAGCUAGGUUAUAACGUUAGAAUUCACUCACCUAGCUAAUUAUGGCUAAAUUACCUCACCUGAUGUAAACUUCUCUAGCUAGUAUAUUCAGUAGCAGGCUACUUAGUCCGGACUGCUGAGAGAGAGGGAGAACACAGCCUUUAAUGGUCGGUAUGUCUCGGAGGCAACCUCUAACAAUGGGAUUUCAGAAGUACUGAAGAGUCUGCGACAAAAGACGAGGGAAGAGAGCAAGUCAGGAGAACAAAAGGAAAGGGUUGCAGGGAAGCUGGAGGCACUUUUCAAAAGGGGAUCAGUCCUUUCGGGCCCGGCAGGGGGUGUGCAUGCUGCCCCCUCAACUGGACAUCCUCUUUUGUGCCAGC
rnacentral:lncRNA from 1 species